UUUUCAGUUCCGUCAAGGGCGUUCCUAACUUCACGGCUGAAGAGAGAUGUUGAUGUCGCUAUAUUGUCAUUAGAAAAACAUUUCAGGAGACCUGGAAUAAUCUACUCGACAGUCGGUUUCAAAUCCCAAUACAGCAGAUGCUGCAGCAGGGUAAGACCACUCUCUGAAGAUUGAAGAAAACAUUCAAAGCACACCUGUUCCUCUCUGCACCGAAUUCCCACUCUGCAACAAAUUGACAAUAACAACACUCACUCUGGCUGCAUCUCACUCAGGAUAGGAUCUCUCCCCUGCUCGUGUGCAGGCUCAUUGAUUGUCUGCAUGUAAUAUUCCCUUUCUUAAAUAGAGCUGAGGCGAGGUGACAUGACUCUCACUUGUAAAGCGUCAAAUAAUAAUCAACACCUUUUCAGGCCCUAAUGAUGCUUCAGUUGACUGACAGUUAACGGUCACACAGUCAGCUGAGUCAGCUAUCUUACCAACCUUUUGAGUAGACUAAUGAGCUUACAAAUAAAGGAGAAAUUAAAGAGAAAGACAGAGCAGCUAAAUUCACAAUGUGCACCAAAUUGCCAACACCCAAACUCACCCUGGCUGUGUUUCACUCAGAACGAGGUCUCCCCCUGCUGGUUUGCCAGUGCACUGAUGCCUUCCAUUGCUCUGAUACUUGGUUAUGCUACAACGGCCUCCCAAGCAUCCUGUAACAUCUCUGUUCUUAUGGCAGUGAAGUUUGUCUUUCAACAGUUGAGGAUUUUUAACUUGAUACCAAGAGAUUUCUAUCCAUAAUUAUUCAGAAAUAAAUCAUGCUAUUGUCAGUGUAAACUAGAUGAUCUACGACUGUAAUGGACUCAACCACACCACCCCACCGCCCUCUAAAUUUCCCAGGACUUAUAUACACAUUGGUUACUCCAGUGUUCAAGUGGAGAAACAACAGGGGCCCCUGUAGUUUCCAUUUCAAGUGGCUCUCCUCCAAUGCCAAAAAGUUAAAGAGAAAGUUUCUGAUCAUCGCAUUUUUUCAUCUCAUUGGUCUGUUACUUUGAUAUUUAGUUGACAACGUUACAACAAGUGUUUCAGUACUGUUAGUUUUCACACCACGAUUUUUGUUUAGAGUACAAUGCAAAUUGCUCCCCAGCGCUCAGCCUUUCUUGUGCAGAUGGUAAAGUGCUAAAGAAAGCUGGAAAAAUAAGAAUAAGUUCAGCAGAUUCGCCUCCCAUUAAAGGAAGUAAGGUUAGAGAGUGCUUUUAGUCUUGCACCAGCGUCGCCACCAGAAUGUUAUUUUUGUGCUUCCCCAUGACGAUGUUUAUUGCAGAAAACUGAAGGACAAAAUCUACCCCAUUGUGACCGAACUGUGUGCAUUGCCCUUCCAUUGACUAUGCAAGCUGUUAAAUCACAUUAGGUUGUUGCUCUCUAGUGAAUCGUAAACCUCUCCAAAGGCAAUGUGACCUUGCAGUGAGUUGACUUAGCUGGGCACAAUAUAAGUGGUUGCUUCUUAAUAUCCUCAGUUCUACCAGUCAACUGAUCAAACAACAUGCUUGCUGAAAGUGAUAAUGCGGUUCCUGAUUUUGAAAUCCAUGUGUACAUGUUUGGAACUAGGUAAACCCAUAUUCCACAGCCAUGAAUGAAUAACUUACUGCCAAUCACAAUCGCUUCGUGGUGAAGAAUAUAGAGUGCUGCUAGGUGUGGCGAGGGGGUGUGCCCAGGGGUUGUGAAGAAUGUUCCAGUCAGCACAUUACGAAAUUACAGAGGUCAAGCCAGCAGCUGUAUAAUUGGUUCUUCACAUCGACCACCUAUUUGUGAAAUGUUUCUGUUGUCAUUUCCAGCGAAUUCAAUGGAAUGGAAAAAAUAUGCAAAAUGUAUUUUUGCUUAGGGAGUCAUUCAUCACUGGGCAUUAAAACGAAAAUAAACAGUUCAUUAAAUUCUCA